rnacentral:misc_RNA from 1 species
GAUGAAGAACGUAGCGAAAUGCGAUAAGUAAUGUGAAUUGCAGAAUUCAGUGAAUCAUCGAAUCUUUGAACGCACAUUGCGCCCGCCAGUAUUCUGGCGGGCAUGCCUGUCCGAGUGUCAUUUCAACCCUCGAACCCCUCCGGGGGGUCGGCGUUGGGGACCUCGGGAGCCCCUAAGACGGGAUCCCGGCCCCGAAAUACAGUGGCGGUCUCGCCGCAGCCUCUCCUGCGCAGUAGUUUGCACAACUCGCACCGGGAGCGCGGCGCGUCCACGUCCGUAAAACACCCAACUUCUGAAAUGUUGACCUCGGAUCAGGUAGGAAUACCCGCUGAACUUAAGCAUAUCAAUAAGCGGAGGA